UACAGAGGUCUCAAGCGUUGUUCGGAUUCAUUGGGGCGUAAAGGGUGCGUAGGUGGCAUGGUAAGUCGGAUGUGAAAUCCCGGGGCUCAACCCCGGAACUGCAUUCGAUACUGCUGCGCUAGAGUACUGGAGAGGAGAUUGGAAUUUACGGUGUAGCAGUGAAAUGCGUAGAUAUCGUAAGGGAAGACCAGUGGCGAAGGCGGAUCUCUGGACAGUUACUGACA
rnacentral:rRNA from 1 species